CAAGAUGAUUAAAAGCAGCAGCUGAACCAGAUUGGGCAGAAAAAGAAGUUGUAAAAGAUCUUCCUGUAGUAUCUGGAA
rfam:Vitis vinifera, whole genome shotgun sequence of line PN40024, unoriented chromosome 2, chr2